rnacentral:rRNA from 1 species
AACGAACGCUGGCGGCAUGCCUAACACAUGCAAGUCGAACGAGACCUUCGGGUCUAGUGGCGCACGGGUGCGUAACGCGUGGGAACCUGCCUUUAGGUUCGGAAUAACUCAGAGAAAUUUGAGCUAAUACCGGAUGAUGUCUUCGAACCAAAGAUUUAUCGCCUUUGGAUGGGCCCGCGUUGGAUUAGCUAGUUGGUGGGGUAAAGGCCUACCAAGGCGACGAUCCAUAGCUGGUCUGAGAGGAUGAUCAGCCACACUGGGACUGCGACACGGCCCAGACUCCUACGGGAGGCAGCAGUGGGGAAUAUUGGACAAUGGGCGAAAGCCUGAUCCAGCAAUGCCGCGUGAGUGAUGAAGGCCUUAGGGUUGUAAAGCUCUUUUACCCGAGAUGAUAAUGACAGUAUCGGGAGAAUAAGCUCCGGCUAACUCCGUG